rnacentral:pre_miRNA from 1 species
UGUAUACUCCCUCUGUCCCAAAAUUCUUGUCUUAGAUUCGUCUAGAUACGGAUGUAUCUAAUACUAAAACAUGACUUGAUACAUCCAUAUUUAGACAAAUCUAGGACAAGAAUUUUAGGACGGAGGGAGUACUAU